UAAACAAGAACGUUAGCCAAAAUCAUAAUACAGCCCAAAUUCCGUCAAGCAACCGCCCCGCUGAGCUGCGAAAAAACAUGCUCUGCGAUGGCCCGAUUCUUUUGGGACCGGAUCCUCAGCCCCCAGCCCCCCGGGAUCAUCAGGAUCGGGCCUAAUCGCAGAACUUGAGUUCCGACGAUUGCGGACUGGCCAAAGCCGGUCCUUUU
rnacentral:sRNA from 1 species